rnacentral:rRNA from 1 species
AAACAACCAGGAGGUUUGCUUAGAAGCAGCCACCCUUUAAAGAGUGCGUAAUAGCUCACUGGUGGAGCGUUCUUGCGCCGAAAAUGAACGGGACUAAGCGGUCUGCCGAAGCUGUGGGUAAUAUCAGUAUUUGAUAUUACGGUAGGGGAGCGUUCCGCUCUAGGGUGAAGCAUCCACGUAAGUUGGUGUGGACAAAGCGGAAGUGAGAAUGUCGGCUUGAGUAACGAAAACAUUGGUGAGAAUCCAAUGCCCCGAAAACCU